rnacentral:rRNA from 1 species
GAUGAACGCUGGCGGCGUGCCUAAUACAUGCAAGUCGAGCGAACAGACGAGGAGCUUGCUCCUUUGACGUUAGCGGCGGACGGGUGAGUAACACGUGGAUAACCUACCUAUAAGACUGGGAUAACUUCGGGAAACCGGAGCUAAUACCGGAUAACAUGUUGAACCGCAUGGUUCAACAGUGAAAGACGGUCUUGCUGUCACUUAUAGAUGGAUCCGCGCCGCAUUAGCUAGUUGGUAAGGUAACGGCUUACCAAGGCAACGAUGCGUAGCCGACCUGAGAGGGUGAUCGGCCACACUGGAACUGAGACACGGUCCAGACUCCUACGGGAGGCAGCAAUAGGGAAUCUUCCGCAAUGGGCGAAAGCCUGACGGAGCAACGCCGCGUGAGUGAAGAAGGUCUUCGGAUCGUAAAACUCUGUUAUUAGGGAAGAACAAAUGUGUAAGUAACUAUGCACGUCUUGACGGUACCUAAUCAGAAAGCCACGGCUAACUACGUG